rnacentral:rRNA from 1 species
UACGUAGGGUGCAAGCGUUAAUCGGAAUUACUGGGCGUAAAGCGUGCGCAGGCGGUUUUGUAAGACUGUCGUGAAAUCCCCGGGCUCAACCUGGGAAUGGCGAUGGUGACUGCAAGGCUAGAGUUUUGCAGAGGGGGGUAGAAUUCCACGUGUAGCAGUGAAAUGCGUAGAUAUGUGGAGGAACACCGAUGGCGAAGGCAGCCCCCUGGGUCAAAACUGACGCUCAUGCACGAAAGCGUGGGGAGCAAACAGG